UACAGAGGGUGCAAGCGUUGUUCGGAAUUAUUGGGCGUAAAGCGCGUGUAGGCGGGAUAGCAAGUCGGGUGUGAAAGCCCUCAGCUUAACUGAGGAAGUGCGCCCGAAACUACUGUUCUUGAGUGCCGGAGAGGGUGGCGGAAUUCCCGGUGUAGAGGUGAAAUGCGUAGAUAUCUGGAGGAACACCGGUGGCGAAGGCGGCAUCCUGGACCGACACUGACACUGAGGAGCGAAAGCCAGGGGAGCAAACGGG
rnacentral:rRNA from 1 species